CCUACGGGGAGGCAGCAGUGGGGAAUAUUGGACAAUGGGCGAAAGCCUGAUCCAGCAAUGCCGCGUGAGUGAUGAAGGCCUUAGGGUUGUAAAGCUCUUUUACCAGGGAUGAUAAUGACAGUACCUGGAGAAUAAGCUCCGGCUAACUCCGUGCCAGCAGCCGCGGUAAUACGGAGGGAGCUAGCGUUGUUCGGAAUUACUGGGCGUAAAGCGUACGUAGGCGGUUAUUCAAGUCAGAGGUGAAAGCCUGGAGCUCAACUCCAGAACUGCCUUUGAAACUAGAUAGCUAGAAUCUUGGAGAGGUGAGUGGAAUUCCGAGUGUAGAGGUGAAAUUCGUAGAUAUUCGGAAGAACACCAGUGGCGAAGGCGACUCACUGGACAAGUAUUGACGCUGAGGUACGAAAGCGUGGGGAGCAAACAGGAUUAGAUACCCUGGUAGUCCACGCCGUAAACGAUGAUAACUAGCUGUUCGGGCUCUACGAGCUUGAGUGGCGCAGCUAACGCAUUAAGUUAUCCGCCGUGGGGAGUACGGUCGCAAGAAUUAAACUACAAAUUGAAUUGACGG
rnacentral:rRNA from 1 species